ACGUGCGUUUCUUUUCCAAAACCCUAGAGAGCCUCCAUCUCCAUCUCCAUUCUCUAUCUCCAUUCCAAUGAUCAUCUCCUCACAUGUCUUUCCUAAUGAAUUCCAUCUGAGCAUCGUGAAUCCUUCAUUCGUUUCAUUCAACACGGCUAUUCUGACCCAAAUUAAAGGACGCUUCUUUCUAAACCCUAGCCUCCUUCAUCUCGCUCUUCUGGAUCAAUCAUAUUCUCAUCAAAUGGUUCAAUAAUCAGGUAUGAUUCCUUUCAAUCACAGAUCCAUGUAUCUCGAUCUAAAUCUCCCCUCUCUAUUGGAAACGAAGCCAUUGUUGUCUUAACGGUUUGUAACGGUUGGAGAUUGAGAUUAGUAGAUGGUGGAUGCAUUGUGGUAAUGGAUCUUAUGGCGAGGUUUAUCAUUCCAGAAUGGUGAUGGGACUGUAAGUUGCUUUGUUAAUACUAUAGUUAUCGUGUUAAGUUGUUUAUACAAUUUAUAAUAAGUUGUUAAGCAUAUUGCGUAUUUAACUUUGAUAUGUACAAUUUUGCUAUUGGGAUACGAAUGUCAUUGUUUUGGUUCAAGUGGUUACAUCAUUAAUCCAAAUACUACUUACUUUUGAUUUUCUUAGAAGAUAUUAUGUUUAAACUUGCAAAAGAUUCUUUCCAAUUGGUACGAAGUUUAUUUACUUAAUGGUAUAUGCUUACAUUAAUAUGUUGCAAUUUAGAAAUUUCCAGGGAUGGAUUCAAACGGGUCAAAAGUUGCCUGAAGUGUUUUGAGUUCAUUCUACGGUAUCUUUUACGUUUCCAAUUCAACCAAACUAGAAUAUGUUUCAAAAUUUGUAGCUGCCCUGGUAACCAUCCAAAAUAAUUUUGUUUUUUAGUUAUUUUGUUUGUCCAUAAUUGUUCUCAAUUUCUCAUGUUGUAGCUUUUUACUUUUGGGUCAGUGCACCUUAAAAGAGAAGUUUACUCUUGACGCAAAGGAUUUCAAGCUAUAUGAGGAAAUUGUUGAAUGAGUUAGUGCCUCAUGUAUUGAGCUCUUUGUGUCCCUUUGAACUAGACGGUUGCCAGCAGGGUUCUUGAUUUGGAAAAAAGUUGUAACAAUGACCUGGUCACUGAAAAUCAAAAACCUGGUUCUUAGUGAAGAAAUGAUUUCCACUUGCGUGUUGAAGUAAGUGUGUGCUACAACAAGUUGCAGACAACUAAAUUUGGUUGUGAAGGAACAUAUCGGCUGUUGUUCAGGUUACAUGCUAAAGCAUACUCUGUGAAAAGGCAAGGACUUUGUUAAGAUAAAAUUUUGAUAUAUGCGGACAUGGUGGCAAUCGAUGGUUCUCGGACUAUUAAAAUUGUUGAACCAAGCCCUUUCGUUUUGUUUGUAUAUAGAAUAGUACCUUAUCCUCAGGAAACAAGUCAGAACAGUCUAGGAGGUGAACCAAUUUCUAAUGACUUAAUCUACCUUCAGGUACGUGUAACACUGGUUUAGGUACGUGUAAUAGUUGGUUGAUGAAUGUUAUUUAUCAUAUAUCUAUAGUGGGGACUUUAGUAUUUAAUGUGCCGGGUUGAUUUAGCCCUCAAAAUAGUUUGUUUUAUUAAAUAAGAUUAGGAUUCUAGCAUUAUUUUUAGCGAAAAGUAGGCAUCCUAGCAGAAAAUAGUCAAAGAGGUCAAAGUUCUUGCAUUCCUAUGGAUUAGAAAUUGAGCAAGAAUGAAUGCACUUGGCUGGGAGGAAUGGAAAACGCUCAAAGUGUAAAGUGUAAUGAUACGUUUAGUGGAAUGUAAUAUGUAUGAUGUAAAUACUUUGGUGUUUGGGUUAAGCUUUCGGCUUUCCCUAUAUUAA